rnacentral:rRNA from 1 species
UACGGAGGGAGCUAGCGUUAUUCGGAAUUACUGGGCGUAAAGCGCACGUAGGCGGCUUUGUAAGUUAGAGGUGAAAGCCCGGGGCUCAACUCCGGAACUGCCUUUAAGACUGCAUCGCUUGAAUCCAGGAGAGGUGAGUGGAAUUCCGAGUGUAGAGGUGAAAUUCGUAGAUAUUCGGAAGAACACCAGUGGCGAAGGCGGCUCACUGGACUGGCAUUGACGCUGAUGCGCGAAAGCCAGGGGAGCAAACGGG